ACAUCAGGGUGCUGCUCCCACACCCCCUACCUCCCAGAGUGCCCAGCUGAAACCCCGACCCCACAAUCUUUCUCUGUCUUCUGGGUACCAGCAGCCCAGAUGCGCCCAGCCUGUGAACAGAUCUACAACCUCUUCCACGCGGCCGACCCCUGCGCCUCACGCCUCGAGCCCCUGCUGGCCCCGAAGUUCCAGGCCAUCGCCCCACUGACCGUGCCCCGCUACCAGAAGUUCCCCCUGGGAGAUGGCUCAUCCCUGCUGCUGGCCGACACUCUGCAGACGCACUCCAGCCUCUUUCUGGAGGAGCUGGAGAUGCUGGUGCCCUCAACACCCACCUCUACUAGCGGUGCCUUCUGGAAGGGCAGUGAGUUGGCCACUGACCCCCCGGCCCAGCCAGCCGCCCCCAGCACCACCAGUGAGGUGGUUAAGAUCCUGGAGCGCUGGUGGGGAACCAAGCGGAUCGACUACUCGCUGUACUGCCCCGAGGCGCUCACCGCCUUUCCCACCGUCACGCUG
rnacentral:sRNA from 1 species